rnacentral:rRNA from 1 species
AACGAACGCUGGCGGCGCGUCUUAAACAUGCAAGUCGAACGAUCUGUAGCAAUACAGGGAGUGGCGGACGGGUGAGGAACACGUAGGAAUCUACCUUGAAGGGCGGGACAACUUUGGGAAACCGGGGCUAAUAUCGCAUAGUACAGAGAUGUUAAAGGGCUAGCAAUAGUCGCUUCGAGAUGAGCCUGCGGUCUAUCAGCUUGUUGGUGAGGUAAUGGCUCACCAAGGCUACGACGGAUAGCCGGUCUGAGAGGAUGAUCGGCCACACUGGCACUGAGACGCGGGCCAGACUCCUACGGGAGGCAGCAGUUAAGAAUCUUGCGCAAUGGGGGAAACCCUGACGCAGCGACGCCGCGUGAAGGAUGAAGGCUUUCGGGUUGUAAACUUCGGUAGACUGGGAAGAAGAAAUACGUUCGUUGAGGGCGUAUAGUGACGGUACCAGUCUGAAGCCCCGGCUAAUUACGUGCCAGCAGCCGCGGUAAU